GUAAGGCCCUUUCGGGGGUACACGAGUGGCGAACGGGUGAGUAACACGUGAGUAACCUGCCCUCAUCUCUGGGAUAACAGUCGGAAACGGUUGCUAAUACUGGAUAUGAGCCUGCAAGGCAUCUUGUGGGUUGGAAAGAUUUUUUGGUUGGGGAUGGACUCGCGGCCUAUCAGCUUGUUGGUGAGGUAGUGGCUCACCAAGGCUUCGACGGGUAGCCGGCCUGAGAGGGCGACCGGCCACAUUGGGACUGAGAUACGGCCCAAACUCCUACGGGAGGCAGCAGUGGGGAAUAUUGCACAAUGGACGGAAGUCUGGUGCAGCAACGCCGCGUGCGGGAUGACGGCCUUCGGGUUGUAAACCGCUUUCAAUUGUGACGAAGCUUUUUGUGACGGUAGCAGUAGAAGAAGCACCGGCUAACUACGUGCCAGCAGCCGCGGUGAUACGUAGGGUGCGAGCGUUGUCCGGAUUUAUUGGGCGUAAAGAGCUUGUAGGUGGUUUGUCGCGUCGGGAGUGAAAACUCAGGGCUUAACUCUGAGCUUGCUUUCGAUACGGGCUGACUUGAGGGAGGUAGGGGAGAAUGGAAUUCCUGGUGGAGCGGUGGAAUGCGCAGAUAUCAGGAGGAACACCGGUGGCGAAGGCGGUUCUCUGGACCUUUCCUGACGCUGAGAAGCGAAAGCGUGGGGAGCGAACAGGCUUAGAUACCCUGGUAGUCCACGCUGUAAACGGUGGGUACUAGGUGUGGGGGACAUUCCACGUUCUCCGUGCCGUAGCUAACGCAUUAAGUACCCCGCCUGGGGAGUACGGCCGCAAGGCUAAAACUCAAAGGAAUUGACGGGGCCCCGCACAAGCGGCGGAGCAUGCGGAUUAAUUCGAUGCAACGCGAA
rnacentral:rRNA from 1 species